rnacentral:lncRNA from 1 species
AAGAGUUCCAAGAGGCCGCGCUCAAAGGUGAGCGCUAGAGUCUUGCACUGCAUAGAUACUGACUUUUUUCUUCUUUCUUUUCUGGUGGUCUCAGAGUUUGGAGUGGCCGCGGGGAGCCUGGAACUAGAUCAAGGCAGAGACAACUUUCAAAUUCGCGAAGCCCCCACCCCCACUCCCAGAGUGAGGUCCAUCCUGCUGAGCAAGACCCUGGGAGUUGUGAAACAGAAAAGAAAGGAUUGGUGGUGGAAGGAAGGAUGGGAGAAAUGGGACUGAUCCACCAUAGGGCUCCGGCUUAAGUCCACCCCUGGAUUCGGCCCAACUAGGUGGAAGCUGAAGGAACGUUCCCACGAGGGCUCCCAAGGACAAAGAAGCCAACCAGACCUCAUCUUCACCGCAGCCUCGACGGGCAGAGCGGCCCAGGAUAGCGAUUCUCUCGGCUCCCUGGUGUCCAUGGGUCCCUUGGAAUUUCCAGACCAAGGGUGGAGGGAGGUUAAACCCCAUCUCCGUUCCUGUUUCACACACACACACACACACACACACACACACACACACACACACACACACACACACACACACACACACGCAUAAAUAAUGCAGACGGGAGCCAAGAUUUCUGUAUCAGCACCGCGUUGCCCGGGCGGCUGGCACAAGGAUUCCAAAGACGGAGAAUGGAAAUUAAACUGUUGUUGUAUGAAGGGGGAUGUCAUUAUGUGACUGCUCAUAUUCAAAGUCGGGCAGCAGCGAAAUGUAAUCAUUUCAAUUAUCUUCAAUGUAUUUUCUUAGGACA